rnacentral:rRNA from 1 species
AACCUGCCUCAUACACAUGGAUAACAUACCGAAAGGUAUGCUAAUACAAGAUGAUAUAAGAGAUUCGCAUGGGUUUCUUAUCAAAGCUCCGGCGGUAUGAGAUGGACCCGCGUCUGAUUAGCUAGUUGGUAAGGUAACGGCUUACCAAGGCGACGAUCAGUAGCCGACCUGAGAGGGUGAUCGGCCACAUUGGAACUGAGACACGGUCCAAACUCCUACGGGAGGCAGCAGUGGGGAAUAUUGCACAAUGGGCGAAAGCCUGAUGCAGCAACGCCGCGUGAGCGAUGAAGGCCUUCGGGUCGUAAAGCUCUGUCCUCAAGGAAGAUAAUGACGGUACUUGAGGAGGAAGCCCCGGCUAACUACGUGCCAGCAGCCGCGGUAAUACGUAGGGGGCUAGCGUUAUCCGGAUUUACUGGGCGUAAAGGGUGCGUAGGUGGUUUCUUAAGUCAGGAGUGAAAGGCUACGGCUCAACCGUAGUAAGCUCUUGAAACUGGGAAACUUGAGUGCAGGAGAGGAAAGUGGAAUUCCUAGUGUAGCGGUGAAAUGCGUAGAUAUUA